GACGAACGCUGGCGGCGUGCCUAAUACAUGCAAGUUGAGCGCUGAAGGUUGGUACUUGUACCAACUGGAUGAGCAGCAAACGGGUGAGUAACGCGUGGGGAAUCUGCCUUUGAGCGGGGGACAACAUUUGGAAACGAAUGCUAAUACCGCAUAAAAACUUUAAACACAAGUUUUAAGUUUGAAAGAUGCAAUUGCAUCACUCAAAGAUGAUCCCGCGUUGUAUUAGCUAGUUGGUGAGGUAAAGGCUCACCAAGGCGAUGAUACAUAGCCGACCUGAGAGGGUGAUCGGCCACAUUGGGACUGGGACACGGCCCAAACUCCUACGGGAGGCAGCAGUAGGGAAUCUUCGGCAAUGGACGAAAGUCUGACCGAGCAACGCCGCGUGAGUGAAGAAGGUUUUCGGAUCGUAAAACUCUGUUGGUAGAGAAGAACGUUGGUGAGAGUGGAAAGCUCAUCAAGUGACGGUAACUACCCAGAAAGGGACGGCUAACUACGUG
rnacentral:rRNA from 1 species